CCGAGUUUACAACUCCCAAACCCAAUGUGAACGUUACCAAACUGUUGCCUCGGCGGGAUCUCUGCCCCGGGUGCGUCGCAGCCCCGGACCAAGGCGCCCGCCGGAGGACCAACCAAAACUCUUAUUGUAUACCCCCUCGCGGGUUUUUUUAUAAUCUGAGCCUUCUCGGCGCCUCUCGUAGGCGUUUCGAAAAUGAAUCAAAACUUUCAACAACGGAUCUCUUGGUUCUGGCAUCGAUGAAGAACGCAGCGAAAUGCGAUAAGUAAUGUGAAUUGCAGAAUUCAGUGAAUCAUCGAAUCUUUGAACGCACAUUGCGCCCGCCAGUAUUCUGGCGGGCAUGCCUGUCCGAGCGUCAUUUCAACCCUCGAACCCCUCCGGGGGGUCGGCGUUGGGGAUCGGCCCUGCCUUGGCGGUGGCCGUCUCCGAAAUACAGUGGCGGUCUCGCCGCAGCCUCUCCUGCGCAGUAGUUUGCACACUCGCAUCGGGAGCGCGGCGCGUCCACAGCCGUUAAACACCCAACUUCUGAAAUGUUGACCUCGGAUCAGGUAGGAAUACCCGCUGAACUUAAGCAUAUCAAUAAGGCGGAGGA
rnacentral:rRNA from 1 species